rnacentral:rRNA from 1 species
GCCUAAUACAUGCAAGUCGAGCGGACAGAAGGGAGCUUGCUCCCGGAUGUUAGCGGCGGACGGGUGAGUAACACGUGGGUAACCUGCCUGUAAGACUGGGAUAACUCCGGGAAACCGGAGCUAAUACCGGAUAGUUCCUUGAACCGCAUGGUUCAAGGAUGAAAGACGGUUUCGGCUGUCACUUACAGAUGGACCCGCGGCGCAUUAGCUAGUUGGUGGGGUAAUGGCUCACCAAGGCGACGAUGCGAUAGCSGCACCCUKAGAAGGGUGAUYGGCCACWCUGGGACUUGAGAMACUGGCYCUAGACUCCUCACGGGAGGCCAGCAGUUAGGGAAUCUUCCGCAAUGGACGAAAGUUCUGACSGAGCAACGCCGGCGUGAGUGAUUGAASGUUUYCGGAUCUGUAAAGCUCUGUUGUUUARGGAAGAACAAGUGCGGAGAAGUUUAACUGUCUCGGCACYUUGACGGUAACCUAACCAGAAAGCCACGGCUAACKACGUGCCAGGCAGSCGCCGGUAAUACGUAAGGUGGCAAGGCGUUGUCCGGAAUUAUUGGGCGUAAAGGGCUCGCAGGCGGUUUCUUAAGUCUGAUGUGAAAGCCCCCGGCUCAACCGGGGAGGGUCAUUGGAAACUGGGAAACUUGAGUGCAGAAGAGGAGAGUGGAAUUCCACGUGUAGCGGUGAAAUGCGUAGAGAUGUGGAGGAACACCAGUGGCGAAGGCGACUCUCUGGUCUGUAACUGACGCUGAGGAGCGAAAGCGUGGGGAGCGAACAGGAUUAGAUACCCUGGUAGUCCACGCCGUAAACGAUGAGUGCUAAGUGUUAGGGGGUUUCCGCCCCUUAGUGCUGCAGCUAACGCAUUAAGCACUCCGCCUGGGGAGUACGGUCGCAAGACUGAAACUCAAAGGAAUUGACGGGGGCCCGCACAAGCGGUGGAGCAUGUGGUUUAAUUCGAAGCAACGCGAAGAACCUUACCAGGUCUUGACAUCCUCUGACAACCCUAGAGAUAGGGCUUUCCCUUCGGGGACAGAGUGACAGGUGGUGCAUGGUUGUCGUCAGCUCGUGUCGUGAGAUGUUGGGUUAAGUCCCGCAACGAGCGCAACCCUUGAUCUUAGUUGCCAGCAUUCAGUUGGGCACUCUAAGGUGACUGCCGGUGACAAACCGGAGGAAGGUGGGGAUGACGUCAAAUCAUCAUGCCCCUUAUGACCUGGGCUACACACGUGCUACAAUGGACAGAACAAAGGGCUGCAAGACCGCAAGGUUUAGCCAAUCCCAUAAAUCUGUUCUCAGUUCGGAUCGCAGUCUGCAACUCGACUGCGUGAAGCUGGAAUCGCUAGUAAUCGCGGAUCAGCAUUGCCGCGGKGAAUACGUUCCCGGGCCUUGWACCACACCGCCCGUCACACCAGCGAGAGKUUGCAACACCCGAAGUCUGGWGACGGURMCCUUUAUGGUAGCCAAGCCGGCCCGAARGGUKSSGCAAWWUGAUAUGGGGGUGAAGUCGUUAACAGGGUGGC